ACUCCUACGGGAGGCAGCAGUGGGGAAUCUUGGACAAUGGGGGCAACCCGUGAUCCAGCCAUGCCGCGUGAGUGAUGAAGGCCUUAGGGUCGUAAAGCUCUUUCGCCUGUGAAGAUAAUGACGGUAGCAGGUAAAGAAACCCGCGUACAUCCGUGCCAGCAGCCGCGGUAAUACGGAGGGGGUUAGCGUUGUUCGGAAUUACUGGGCGUAAAGCGCACGUAGGCGGAUCGGAAAGUUGGGGGUGAAAUCCCGGGGCUCAA
rnacentral:rRNA from 1 species